rnacentral:rRNA from 1 species
CGCCUCUUGAUUGCAAUAAGAGGUCUAGCCUGCCCACUGACAUAUUCAACGGCCGCGGUAUCCUAACCGUGCAAAGGUAGCACAAUCACUUGUUCUUUAAAUAAGGACCUGUAUCAAUGGCAUCACGAGGGUUACACUGUCUCCUCUCUCCAAUCAGUGAAACUGAUCUCCUCAUGAAAAAGUGGGGAUAAACCUAUAAGACGAGAAGACCCCAUGAAGCUUUAAAUCUAGUAGCAAUUUAGCAAAAUAUGCCUCAUAGCUGCAAAACCAUGCUACACAUUUUAGGUUGGGAGGACCGCGGAGUAAAAAUUAACCUCCGCAACAAAAAGACAUAAAAUCUUCACCCAAGAGCUACUACUCCAAGGACUAGAAUACUAAUGUUAAAUGACCCAGCAUUGAUCAACGAACCAAGUUACUCUGGGGAUAACAGCGCAAUCUACUUCAAGAGUCCAUAUCGACAAGUAGGCUUACGACCUCGAUGUUGGAUCAGGGUAUCCCGGUGGUGCAGCCGCUACCAAUGGUUCGUUUGUUCAACGAUUAAAACCCU